rnacentral:piRNA from 1 species
UUGAUGGGGAAUUUGUGUUAGAGCAA